UAAAAACACAGGUCACAACCCAAAUGAUAUA
rnacentral:piRNA from 1 species